ACUCCUACGGGAGGCAGCAGUGAGGAAUAUUGGUCAAUGGACGGAAGUCUGAACCAGCCAUGCAAAGUGCAGGAAGAAAACCCUAUGGGUUGUAAACUGCUUUUAUAUAGGAAUAAAACCCUCAACGAGUUGUGGGGCUGUGAUGUGCUAUAUGAAUAUACA
rnacentral:rRNA from 1 species